rnacentral:rRNA from 1 species
GACAGAGGGGGCAAGCGUUGCUCGGAAUCACUGGGCGUAAAGGGCGCGUAGGCGGGAUGGCAAGUCAGUCGUGAAAUCUCUCGGCUCAACCGAGAAAACGUCGGCUGAUACUGCCGUUCUUGAGGGAUGCAGAGGAGACUGGAAUUCCCGGUGUAGCGGUGAAAUGUGUAGAGAUCGGGAGGAACACCGGUGGCGAAGGCGGGUCUCUGGGCAUCUCCUGACGCUGAGGCGCGAAAGCGUGGGGAGCAAACGGG